CAGGCCCCUAGAGGCAUUGCAAUUGUGCCUGCUGUGUCACCUGUGGGUCAGUAGGUGGCAGAGAGGAGAGGGGCUGCGUCUAUGCCCAGUGUAGCCUAUGAACAUCUGAACCAUUCCCUGACAUU
ensembl:snoRNA LOC120097614 small nucleolar RNA SNORA17